GACGUAGGGCGCGAGCGUUGUCCGGAAUUAUUGGGCGUAAAGAGCUCGUAGGCGGCUUGUCGCGUCGACUGUGAAAACCCGCGGCUCAACUGCGGGCCUGCAGCCGAUACGGGCAGGCUAGAGUUCGGUAGGGGAGACUGGAAUUCCUGGUGUAGCGGUGAAAUGCGCAGAUAUCAGGAGGAACACCGGUGGCGAAGGCGCACACCUGGCCCGAUACUGACGCUGAGGCGCGAAAGCUAGGGGAGCAAACGGG
rnacentral:rRNA from 1 species